rnacentral:rRNA from 1 species
UACGUAGGGGGCAAGCGUUGUCCGGAAUCAUUGGGCGUAAAGCGCGUUUAGGCGGCUUGAUAAGUCCGCUCUGAAAGCCCGGGGCUCAACCCCGGGAGGCGGGUGGAUACUGUCAAGCUCGAGUCCGGAAGAGGCGAGUGGAAUUCCUGGUGUAGCGGUGAAAUGCGCAGAUAUCAGGAGGAACACCAAUGGCGAAGGCAGCUCGCUGGGACGUGACUGACGCUGAGACGCGAAAGCGUGGGGAGCAAACAGG